rnacentral:rRNA from 1 species
GGCGAACGCUGGCGGCAGGCCUAACACAUGCAAGUCGAACGAACCUUUCGGGGUUAGUGGCGGACGGGUGAGUAACACGUGGGAACGUGCCUUUAGGUUCGGAAUAACUCAGGGAAACUUGUGCUAAUACCGAAUGUGCCCUUCGGGGGAAAGAUUUAUCGCCUUUAGAGCGGCCCGCGUCUGAUUAGCUAGUUGGUUGAGGUAAUGGCUCACCAAGGCGACGAUCAGUAGCUGGUCUGAGAGGAUGAUCAGCCACAUUGGGACUGAGACACGGCCCAAACUCCUACGGGAGGCAGCAGUGGGGAAUCUUGCGCAAUGGGCGAAAGCCUGACGCAGCCAUGCCGCGUGAAUGAUGAAGGUCUUAGGAUUGUAAAAUUCUUUCACCGGGGACGAUAAUGACGGUACCCGGAGAAGAAGCCCCGGCUAACUUCGU